GGGUUGUGAGGUUAAGCGACUAAGCGUACACGGUGGAUGCCCUGGCAGUCAGAGGCGAUGAAGGACGUGCUAAUCUGCGAUAAGCGUCGGUAAGGUGAUAUGAACCGUUAUAACCGGCGAUUUCCGAAUGGGGAAACCCAGUGUGAUUCGUCACACUAUCAUUAACUGAAUCCAUAGGUUAAUGAGGCGAACCGGGGGAACUGAAACAUCUAAGUACCCCGAGGAAAAGAAAUCAACCGAGAUUCCCCCAGUAGCGGCGAGCGAACGGGGAGCAGCCCAGAGCCUGAAUCAGUGUGUGUGUUAGUGGAAGCGUCUGGAAAGGCGCGCGAUACAGGGUGACAGCCCCGUACACAAAAAUGCACAUGCUGUGAGCUCGAUGAGUAGGGCGGGACACGUGGUAUCCUGUCUGAAUAUGGGGGGACCAUCCUCCAAGGCUAAAUACUCCUGACUGACCGAUAGUGAACCAGUACCGUGAGGGAAAGGCGAAAAGAACCCCGGCGAGGGGAGUGAAAAAGAACCUGAAACCGUGUACGUACAAGCAGUGGGAGCACAGAGCAAUC
rnacentral:rRNA from 1 species